CCUACGGGAGGCAGCAGUGAGGAAUAUUGGUCAAUGGACGAGAGUCUGAACCAGCCAAGUAGCGUGAAGGAUGACUGCCCUAUGGGUUGUAAACUUCUUUUAUAUGGGAGUAAAAUGUUCCACGUGUGGGAUUUUGUAUGUACCAUAUGAAUAAGGAUCGGCUAACUCCGUGCCAGCAGCCGCGGUAAUACGGAGGAUCCGAGCGUUAUCCGGAUUUAUUGGGUUUAAAGGGAGCGUAGGUGGAUUGUUAAGUCAGUUGUGAAAGUUUGCGGCUCAACCGUAAAAUUGCAGUUGAAACUGGCAGUCUUGAGUACAGGAGAGGUGGGCGGAAUUCGUGGUGUAGCGGUGAAAUGCUUAGAUAUCACGAAGAACUCCGAUUGCGAAGGCAGUUCACUGGACUGCAACUGACACUGAGGCUCGAAAGUGUGGGUAUCAAACAGGAUUAGAUACCCUUGUAGUC
rnacentral:rRNA from 1 species